GGGAGGGGCGCGCAGGCGCGGACCGCCUGGCGGUACUUUGAAGAAAGACUUCUCGACGCCGGGACACUGCUGGUGGUACUCGAUGUAGAUCACGUGGAUGGCAGGAGCAGUGGCAAAGGACUUUCAACUGACAGACAAGCAUGAGACGGUGGUCAGCUACCUCCCACUCAGCCACAUUGCAGCACAGAUGAUGGACAUCUGGGUACCCAUAAAGAUUGGGGUGCUCACAUACUUUGCUCAAGCAGAUGCUCUCAAGGUAAGAUCGAAUAAGGACCUGGGGCCCCCACUUCAGCCUCUUGGGUAGCCCAGGUGAGUAGAUGGUUGUUAAUCAUUCAACAGAUUUUUUUGGGUAAAGCCCCAGGUCUAACGGUUUUUUUAAUCAGGGAGAAUUAUGUGAAAACAGAAGCACAGAGUCCUUAACUAACUUGCCUGAAGUUAGGAGGAGUUGCAAAAUUUAGCAGGCAGCUUUAGGAGUAGGGAGGUUGCAGACUUCCUUGGGUCCAACGACAGAACUCAGAAAACUGGAUUCAGCAAGUGUCCCAGAGUCAAACCCUGACUCCACUGUUUGCUAGACAUUUGGGCUAUUUCCUUAAAAUCCCUCGUGGCCUUUAUUGCCUCUUCUUUAAAGUGGGGACAGAGGCUUCUCAGGUCCAAUAUAG
rnacentral:sRNA from 1 species